rnacentral:rRNA from 1 species
CCUACGGGAGGCAGCAGUGGGGAAUAUUGGUCAAUGGCGGAAAGGCUGAACCAGCCAAGCCGCGUGAAGGACGAAGGUGCCAAGCAUUGUAAACUUCUUUUGUCAGGGGGCAAAAUCAGGCGCUAGCGCCUGACCGAGGGUACUUGAAGAACAAGCAUCGGCUAACUGCGGUCCAGCAGCCGCGGAAAUACGGAGGAUGCGCGGGUUAUCCGGAUUUGUUGGGUUAAUGGGGUGCGUAGGCGGGCUGUUAAGUCAGCGGUAAACGCCCGGGGCUCAACCCCGGCGAGCCGUUGAAACUGGCGGUCUUGAGAUGUCGAGAGGUAUGCGGAAUGCGCAGUGUAGCGGUGAAAUGCGUAGAUAUUGCGCAGAACACCGAUUGCGAAGGCAGCAUACCGGCGGCGAUCUGACGCUGAGGCACGAAAGCGUGGGGAGCGAACAGGAUUAGAUACCCGGGUAGUC